UACGUAGGGUGCGAGCGUUGUCCGGAUUUAUUGGGCGUAAAGAGCUCGUAGGCGGCUUGUUACGUCGUUCGUGAAAACUUGGGGCUCAACCCCAAGCUUGCGGUCGAUACGGGCAGGCUAGAGUUCGGUAGGGGAGACUGGAAUUCCUGGUGUAGCGGUGAAAUGCGCAGAUAUCAGGAGGAACACCGGUGGCGAAGGCGGGUCUCUGGGCCGAUACUGACGCUGAGGAGCGAAAGCGUGGGGAGCGAACAGG
rnacentral:rRNA from 1 species